rnacentral:rRNA from 1 species
GUGAGGAAUUUUGCGCAAUGGGGGGAACCCUGACGCAGCAACGCCGCGUGAGUGAAGAAGGCCUUCGGGUUGUAAAGCUCUGUCAGAGCUGAAGAAACUACCUCGGGUAAAUAGCCCGUGGUACUGACGGUAAGCUCAGAGGAAGCACCGGCUAACUCCGUGCCAGCAGCCGCGGUAAUACGGAGGGUGCAAGCGUUGUUCGGAUUUAUUGGGCGUAAAGAGCGUGUAGGCGGUUUUGCAAGUCAGGUGUGAAAUCCCGGGGCUUAACCCCGGAACUGCGCCUGAAACUGCAGGACUUGAGUACGGGAGAGGUAGGUGGAAUUCCUGGUGUAGAGGUGAAAUUCGUAGAUAUCAGGAGGAACACCCGUGGCGAAAGCGACCUACUGGACCGAUACUGACGCUGAGACGCGAAAGCGUGGGGAGCAAACAGGAUUAGAAACCCCUGUAGUCC